GAUGAACGCUGGCGGCGUGCCUAAUACAUGCAAGUCGAGCGAACGGACGAGAAGCUUGCUUCUCUGAUGUUAGCGGCGGCCGGGUGAGUAACACGUGGAUAACCUACUUAUAAGACUGGGAUAACUUCGGGAAACCGGCGCUAACACCGGAUAAUAUUUUGAACCGCAGGGUUCAAAAGUGAAAGACGGUCUUGCGGUCACAUAUAGAUGGAUCCGCGCUGUAUUAGCUAGUUGGUAAGGUAACGGCUUACCAAGGAAACGAUGCAUAGCCAACCUGAGAGGGUGAUCGGCAACACUGGAACGAAGACACGCACCGGAAUCCUAAGGAAUGGAGCAAAAGGGCAUGUUCGGCAAUGGGCGAACGCCAGACGGCACAAACCCACGUGAGUGAUGACGAUCUUCGGGUCGAUGAACUCUAUUAUUAGGAAAAAACAUAUGUGUAGAGUACAGAGCACAGCUUGACGGUAACUGAGAAAAAAGCCACGGCUAACUACGUG
rnacentral:rRNA from 1 species